UGUGUGUGUGCGCUGCGUGGUGACGUAGGCGCGUGCAUGUGUGCCCCGGUCACAGCUCCUUUCAGCAUGGCCGGAGGAGAGGUGUACUGGCAGUCGCGUGACACACACAGAUCAGACACAUAUUUCUGUGUUGCAGAUGUGCAGUAAAGAGCCAAAGACCCAGUACUGUCUCCUGCCUCUUACUUUCAUGCCAGAACACAACGCAAGAACAACAGGCGUAACACAUGAACGGGUUACACAUACUGAGAAGAGGAGGCGAGAGCAGAGAACGAGAGUGCAGCAGUUUGGUGAAAGGAACAGGUGAAGAAGAGGUGAGCAUCCAAGAGACGAGCAAGAGGACGGUUUCAAAGCAGACAUUAUGGCACAAUAAAAGCUGUAAGAGCAGAGAUUCAUUCAUAUCUUUACUAUUUUUCUUUAGCUUCUACUCCCGCUGCUUACAAUAAAUCCGAGAUAAAGAACAAACAAGAACAACUCACAUGGCAUUGAUUGUUUAGUUCAGUGUCACUCUGUGAUUGUUUGACAUUUCAUAUAAAUGUGACUCUAAAAUAUAGCCAAUAAUAUUAAAAAGCUGCUGUUACUGAGUCAAACUUGAAGGAUUAUGAUAAACUUCAGUUCUUACUGAAUCUGUAACAUUGCUUUUUUUAAAAUUGUUAAAUGACUUUUGUGUCACUGUGCACAGUGAAAAGCUCACCUGAUGUAGUGGUGAGGCCAUGUUCACCACUAGAUGGAGACAACCUGGCACAGGUUUUUCUAUGCACUAAAUUUCACCCUGAAAAGCCUUGGUGGGAAUUGUUGUUUCAUAGAAAGUAAAGGAAAACAUGUCUUGAGGACUUUUUCCAGUGUUUUCAAAAUUGUGUUUUUCACAUACACAUCAAAACUUCACACAGACAAACACACACACAAAACAACAAAAUAUGUCAAUUAGGGA